AUUGGGAAGGUCGGAAUCUCCGGAUUCCGGAGAUUGCGGCGGCGGGCAGUCCGGCGUGGACUCGGUGCCGGCUUUCCUAACGGGGAAGAAGGCCCUGACGCGUGGGCCCCACGCGUCAGUGGCAGCGGGCGUGCACGCGGGCGGCUCGGUUGGUCGGGCUAGCUCGGCCGGUUCGGCCCAAGCGGUCGGACCGGUCCGGUUUUCCCUUUUUUUUUCUUUUCUUUUUCCCUUUUUCUUAUUUCUUUGAUAUCUUUUGAUUUUGAACUCCAAAUUGGUCCAAAUACAUUCCAGAAAAUUUGUAAAAUCAUGUUUUACCAUGAUACAACUUUUGGGAGUAAUUUCCCCUCAAAAUGAAAUAUAUAAAAAUACAUUUGCCCUAUAAAUGCCUUUAGGGCUAUAUAUCUAUUUAAAUAAAAUACUUUUUCAACUCCAAAUAAUUAUCCAAAAAUUAUGGUAUAGCUUAUAU
rnacentral:lncRNA from 1 species